ACUAUUCCGCGCAUGCGCCUGGGUGUUCCUUUUGUUCGCGGCGCGGUGGAGGUGAGGUCGGUGUUGCUGAGUCCAGGUUAACGGCGUUGGCCAUGGUGCUCUAGGGUUAGUGAAGAGCCAGUGCAAAAUGGAGCGGAUCCAAGUCGCUUUGAGGGUGAGAGCAUUCCUGCUCCCCAAUCUCUAGGCAGAGAUUGGCCAUCAGUUCAUUUGCCAUCAGUUAUGAAAUGGUUGCUCCAGCAUGAACUACUACCUCACUGCUGUCCAGAAAAGUUCCUGUGCCAAGGAAGAGCUUGAAAGUAUGAGAUUUUGAUCAGAUGGUGAUUCGUACCAAUUGGAGCAUCUCUUUCAUUACAGAAGAGCCAGUUCAUCCCAUCGUGUCAAAUAUGUGUCCAUGUACUAUUUAGUGAGGGGAAGUAUUGAAUAAUUUAGAGGAAUGGCUACAAUGGACAACAUUGAUUUUAUUCACAAGUCUGAAGGCCACAUCACAGAAAACUUGUGGAGCAAAGUAUCUCACACAGUGAUUUGUGGAGAUGACAUUUCCUACCUCAUUAAGGGAUUUGUGAGAAAGAGUUGCCUAGUCUUAGGGGACGAGCAUGCCCACGUGAAAGCACAGUGAUGAGGUGCUGUGGAAUACUGAAGACCUCAGACAUAACAUCUUGCGCUGUUUGUGAUUCCGAUGUCGUAGCCAGGAUCAUCAGAUUUAGAGACUACUGUUUCCAAAAUAACUUGUUCGGUUUCUUUGGUACAAGUGCUGGUGGCUGUAUGUUAUUGGCAGCCAAGAAGACCAAAAUGUAUCUGAUCCUGAAAUUGAAAUAAAUAUCUUCUGG